AAUCUUCCACAAUGGGCGAAAGCCUGAUGGAGCAACGCCGCGUGAGUGAAGAAGGUUNNNGGAUCNUCAAACUCUGUUGUAAGNGACNAACAAGUACAGUAGUAACUGGCUGUACCUUGACGGUACCUUAUUAGAAAGCCACGGCUAACUACGUGCCAGCAGCCGCGGUAAUACGUAGGUGGCAAGCGUGGUCCGGAAUUAUUGGGCGUAAAGCGCGCGCAGGCGGUCCUUUAAGUCUGAUGUGAAAGCCCACGGCUUAACCGUAGUUGGCAUUUGAAACUAAAAGGCUUGAGUGCAGGAGAGGAGAGUGGAAUUCCUAGUGUAGCGGUGAAAUGCGUAGAUAUUAGGAGGAACACCAGUGGCGAAGGCGACUCUCUGGUCUGUAACUGACGCUGAGGCGCGAAAGCGUGGGGAUCAAACA
rnacentral:rRNA from 1 species